AUUUUCUCACCAUACAAGCCGUAUGUAAACAUGCACGGACAUUUUAUCUGCAGCUCAAAGUACUUUAUCAAUCCUCUGGAGCAUUAUUCUAAGCAAAGUUAUCCGAUUUAUAUAUUCUUGUGUGAAUUGUUUACGAGGAAAUUCCGACUGUCACAGUAAUAAACAGGGAUGAACACUCUUGACUCUGUUUCGGAUUCCCCAGUGAUAAUUGUAUCGAAUGAUUAAAGAGCUGACGGUUACAUUUUAAUUUAUGAUUGGCGUGGACCAUGGGAAUGAAUUCGAAGUCAUUUUAUGAUGCCACCACUUGGGAUAGUAAGCUGCAAAUAUAGACUUGUACUCAGCACUUAUUGCCUUUGAGAAGUAAGGGAUCCUUUUCGUGCCAACACCCACACCUACUGUGACACAGAAUCUCGGUUUAUACAGUCUGUUUGGAGAAACCUGUCUCUAGCAUUUAGCAGUGUGACUGUCAUCUGAGUACUGAAAUUUGAUGCCAAGCAUGAUCAUGAUUUGCCAGAAGAGCCUCUUUUGGGAGAUGACAAAGAAUAAACAGCAGAAUGAAAUUGAAACAAUCAACUGAAUCAAGUCUCAGUUUAAGAAGAUGAUUUUAAA